CACGGCCCAAACUCCUACGGGAGGCAGCAGUGGGGAAUAUUGGACAAUGGGCGCAAGCCUGAUCCAGCCAUGCCGCGUGAGUGAUGAAGGCCUUAGGGUUGUAAAGCUCUUUUGUCAGGGAAGAUAAUGACGGUACC
rnacentral:rRNA from 1 species